rfam:Oryza glaberrima chromosome 1 Oglab01_0175_14, whole genome shotgun sequence.
AAUAAGUGCAGUUUUACACUGUUCAUAUUCAAUGGUUAACCGUUCGUCUUAUUGGAAAAAACAAUUAUGAUUAGUAUUUUUAUUGUUAUUAGUUGAUAAAACAUGAAUAGCACUUUAUGUGUGACUAUUUUUUUAAAUUUUUUUUAUAAAUUUUUCAAAUAAGACGGACGGUCAAACAUCAGACAUGGAUUUUCACGGUUGCACUUAUU